GAUGGAUGGGAGCGCUGGUGUGCUCGACGGUCUCAUAAACCGUAACAGGCAGGUUCGAUUCCUGCAUCCAUCA
rnacentral:tRNA from 1 species